rnacentral:rRNA from 1 species
AGCGAACGCUGGCGGCAGGCCUAACACAUGCAAGUCGAACGGAUCCUUCGGGAUUAGUGGCGGACGGGUGAGUAACACGUGGGAACGUGCCCUUUGGUUCGGAACAAUUCAGGGAAAUUUGAGCUAAUACCGGAUGUGCCCUUCGGGGGAAAGAUUUAUCGCCCUUGGAGCGGCCCGCGUUGGUUUGGCUAGUUGGUGAGGUAACGGCCCACCAAGGCGACGAUCAGUAGCUGGUCUGAGAGGAUGAUCAGCCACACUGGGGCUGGGACACGGCCCAGACUCCUACGGGAGGCAGCAGUGGGGAAUCUUGCGAAAUGGGCGAAAGGCUGACGCAGCCAUGCCGCGUGAAUGAUGAAGGUCUUAGGGUUGUAAAAUUCUUUCAGCGGGGACGAUAAUGACGGUACCCGCAGAAGAAGCACCGGCUAACUUCGUG